rnacentral:rRNA from 1 species
UAGGGAAUCUUCCGCAAUGGACGCAAGUCUGACGGAGCAACGCCGCGUGAGUGAAGAAGGAUUUCGGUUCGUAAAACUCUGUUGUUAGAGAAGAACAGCGCAUAGAGUAACUGUUAUGCGUGUGACGGUAUCUAACCAGAAAGCCACGGCUAACUACGUGCCAGCAGCCGCGGUAAUACGUAGGUGGCAAGCGUUGUCCGGAUUUAUUGGGCGUAAAGCGAGCGCAGGCGGUCAAUUAAGUCUGAUGUGAAAGCCCCCGGCUCAACCGGGGGGGGUCAUUGGAAACUGGUUGACUUGAGUGCAGAAGAGGAGAGUGGAAGUCCAUGUGUAGCGGUGAAAUGCGUAGAUAUAUGGAGGAACACCGGUGGCGAAAGCGGCUCUCUGGUCUGUAACUGACGCUGAGGCUCGAAAGCGUGGGGAGCGAACAGG